UGGGGAAUUUUGCACAAUGGGGGAAACCCUGAUGCAGCGACGCCGCGUGAUUUAGAAGGCCUUCGGGUUGUAAAAAUCUUUUGUAUGGGAAGAAAAUGACAGUACCAUACGAAUAAGGACCGGCUAAUUACGUGCCAGCAGCCGCGGUAAUACGUAAGGUCCGAGCGUUGUCCGGAAUCAUUGGGCGUAAAGGGUACGUAGGCGGCAAUGCAAGUCAGAUGUAAAAGGCAAAGGCUCAACCUUUGUAAGCAUCUGAAACUGUAUAGCUUGAGAAGUGUAGAGGCAAGUGGAAUUUUUAGUGUAGCGGUGAAAUGCGUAGAUAUUAAAAAGAAUACCGGUGGCGAAGGCGACUUGCUGGGCACAAUCUGACGCUGAGGAACGAAAGCGUGGGGAGCAAACAGG
rnacentral:rRNA from 1 species